GUGCCGCCCCGGGGAGAGGAGAUCUACGCCGACCCGGCUACCUUCGUGAUGAGGCGCUCGGUCAGUUCGCCCAAGUACGACUACCUGGGCGACCGGCGGCCCAUCCCAGCGGGAAUGUACCCAUUCCACUACCCGGCAUCACCCACAGUCCACGACAAGAUGGAUGAACUUUUAGACCUUCAGUUGCAAAGAAACCUAGAGUAUUUGGACCAGCAGGUAGGCAGAGCUGGCUGCAAACUCCCUGCUGCUUAACGGCCCUGUGCGCCC